ensembl:lncRNA
UUAAUUACUACCUAAAUAUAUGAGAGGUUCAAGAAACUCAAUUAAAUUGCAAACAGCACCACACGGUGGAGAGACUCGUUACAUAAACAUUUUGACUGGUUCCACCCAAAUUCAGCAAUAAUAUUUAUGCUGUUAUCUGUCUGCCCUUUAGGUUUCUACUGUCUUGAAGGCACAGGGUAUGACCAGAGACCUUGUCCAGCAGGGACAUACAGCCCUGACUCUGGUUUAAGUGUCCUCUCUGAGUGUAGGGAAUGUGAUGGAGGACAAUACUACUCACUUCAGAACUCCACCUCUGUCACAAGAAAAUGCUCUGAGGGAUAUUACUGCACACAUGGGAACAUCUCACCUCAACCUCACACACAGUCUGCAGCCCAAUCAACGAUCACAGCGGAGGACCGUGUCCGACAGGUUAUUUUUGCUUUAGAGGCUCAGGCACUCCUCAAGUCUGUCCAGAAGGAUCCUUCAGCAGUAGAGAGAGACAGGCCAGCUGCAGCCUGUGUCCCCAAGGGUAGAUACACUUACACAUACACAAGAAUGUUAAACAUUUAAAGGUGAAGAGUAUCAUUUUUUCAUGUUCAAUAUGGUAUCCCAGGUUGUGCAAAGACAGCUAGAAGUGUGACAAUUACACAUAAAUGCUCCGAAAACUCUGUUAUGCUUUCAAAACAUUACAACAAAUCUGACAGAGUAACAGUAACAAUAGAGUGCAACAGGUGGUUUUCAGAAGUAAAAAUCCCAUUCAUUUUCUUCAGUGGGGAACUGCUUUUGAGCAAUAACUUAUGAACCUUUAAAGACAAACUGUGAGCUACGAAAUUUUAAAUUUGAUUGUCAUUUGCAAUGCUUCAUGGGAUUGUAGUUCUUUCCCUCAUUUAAGUUGUUAAGUACACAGUCUUGUACCUUUAUCUUUUUGUCAAAAUUUAUUUAUUUUUUCUUCAAAUUGAAGUUUGUAAUGUUGUGAUUCAUCUCAUAUCUGGUUAAUUUGGUUAAUAACCAAAUAAUAACCCUUUAACGAAGACAUUUUUAAAAUAAAAAAUAAAUAAAAUUGGGUGGGCA